rnacentral:misc_RNA from 1 species
AUGCAAUAGCUAAAUUUGCUGAAAGCUUUGAAUUGGUACCCAGAACCCUAUCUGAAAAUGCUGGGCUCAAUGCUAUGGAGAUAAUAUCUUCCUUGUACGCUGAACAUGCAGCUGGAAAUACAAAGGUGGGCAUUGAUUUAGACGAAGGGGCUUGCAAGGAUGCCUCGGUCAUGAAUAUCUGGGAUCUCCAUGUCACCAAGUUCUUUGCUCUCAAAUAUGCUGCUGAUGCUGCUUGUACAGUCCUACGGGUUGAUCAGAUAAUUAUGGCAAGACCAGCAGGUGGGCCGAACCCCAGGGCUAAUCAACCUAUGGAUGAGGACUAGUGUGCAUCAUGUGGGCAUUAAUAUCGCUUGAGGUCCUGUUUAUUUAUGUAGGCG